rnacentral:lncRNA from 1 species
CAGUGUUAUAAAUUGAGAUAGAUCGCAAGCAAUGCUAAAAAUAGAAAGAAUCAUGCAAAAGCUGUUAAAUUUGGUAAAAUAGAGGCAUAAGGACAAGGAGAAAUCUACAAACCUGAAUACCGUCAAAGAUGUUUCCCAAUAUUCCAGGACCCAAUUUCACUGAUAUGGCUUGCAAAAAUGGGCAAAUAGGUAUAAAUAAACCUAGAAUCAUCUCAACUCUUCAAGUUAAAGAAUGUCAUUUCCAACACGAACUAAUUCACAUAUAGCAGCUCCUGCCAUUCCAUUAGCAAAAACCAUAGGUCCAGAUACCUGUUGAAAAAGAAAAUUCCACCCAGUAGCAACAGAAAUACUAGAGCUAUUUCAGCAUUAAAGUCUGUACAGGUGUUUUAAACGAAGCAAUGCUAGGGCACAAAUUUUAUUGCCAAGAAAUGUAUCCCCAUGGGCGGAUCCACAUGGGAUCAUGUGAGUCCACAAAAAUUUUUGAUUUUUUUUUUCCAAAAUUUCUGUAGCUGUUGUAAUUCUUGUUCAAUACAUUUUACUCCAUACUUUUCAUUGUUGUUUGUUUUUACAUUUGAAAGGAGAGUUAAUAAAUGGAGUUCGAUAACGUCUCUUCUUUUAUUGAAAAUUCUAGAUUUUGUAGGGGUUAUUAUUGGGCUUUGAUUUCUUCAAGUGUAUCUGCACAUUUGCUUUAUCUAAAUGGGUGUUUAGAAAGGUAGAAGAUAUUAAUUUAAUCGAUAUGUGUUAGCUCUUGGUUUAAAUGAUGAUUUCAAUCAGUAUAGCUAGUAUACAUUGUUACGUGUUGUCAUACUUGGUCAAUCUACUUGGACCUAUGGCCCACUCAAUCCGAACCACGUGGCGCUCUAACCGAGGUGGCAUGUAUGACCAAGGUCCUUCAUGUCGAGGCCCAUAUAUUGAGGCCUAUGAAACUAGCCGAGGCCCAUAUGUCGAGGCCUGUGAAGAUAGCUAAAGUCCUAAAGCGAAAGUACUACGUAAGUGGCAGGAGCCCUGAAUCCGAAUUCGAAGUCGAAGCCUCCGAACCAUGAAGGAACGUCUUCUAUGAUCACUUCUCCCAAGAGAUCUUCUACAUAAAGAUCUUGUUAGAAUGAUUGAUGGAACGUUUGUCAUAAGUGUACAUGUCAAGUCUUGUCAUUAGUAUGGGGGUUCUGCAUAAGCAAUAAAUGCGCAGCAAGCUAACAAGUCAAGGAUGAUGCCUAGGAUUGGAUGUUUGAUGAGGCCACGUGCCACCUCAUCUAAGGGCUGUCAUUUCACAUGUACCACUAUAAAUACUUUCCUUGUGUAACAUUAAAGGGCUAAUGCAAAAAUCAAUACAAGAAACCACAUUUUACUCUCUCUUUCACAUUGUCUUGCAACACAAUACGAGUUCAUACACGUUUACAUGCACAUUCAUGAGCACCGAUUGGUUAUUAUUGUACAAUUGGAUUACGAACAUCCCGUCAAAUUCCUAACGUUCUCGUCCCGCAUUGUUGAGCUACUCCCAUGCUCUUGAUCCGUUCGUUCUAGACCGUCCACGUGUCUUAGUGUGUAGGACCUUCGCUCACAUGUGCGCGGGUGGGUUCGGCAUCUGUUGGCAAUAUUUUUUGGGGUCAACAGAUUGGCGUCGUCUGUAGGAAACCAUACCAUAACCAUGAACAACCUUGUGGUGAAAGCUUGUUGAAGAGCAUUUGGACAUCCCCCUUGAAAAGGGAUUUCUUCUUGAAAAAGAACAAGAGGAAGCCCCACAGCUUAGCAAAAUUUGAAGAGUCUGACGAAAAGAAAAUGAGUUCAAACGAAGACACCCCCCCAGGAGGGUAAGAGAAAACGCAAAUGUGCCUCCUCCACCCGCUACCCCAGCAGCUCGGCAAAGACUCCACCACCACCAAAGAAGAGGUGGAAUGCGGGUGACGGCACAACUGUUAAGAGAAAUGGCUGCCAUGGCGGCCAAUAUGAGGGAUAUUGCUAGCCAAAACUUGGCUAUGAGGGAGCUCAUGGCCCAAAUGCAGAGCUAGGGAGGCUUCCCCAUUCCUCCAUACGCUCCUUAAGGGCACUACCAGCAAGAAGAUGAAAUUCAAAGUCAUAGAACUGCCUCGCCGGACUAUAGCUGAGGUAGAAGCCCAUUUGAAAGAGAAGUGGAAGUUGAUGAUUCCUCCAACUACGCUUCUGGUUGACUCACUAAAGUCCCAUUAAACCAUGAUAACUUCCCACCUUCGUAUGAGCAAGAGUCAAGACAUAGGAGGACAUGUAGUGUAUUUGACAGAAUUAGCCCCGCUGAACCGAGGCUUAGGCGACAACAGACUCACCAGCCUUGGACAAGGCCACGGCCUCCACCUCCAAUGCCCCAGCAGCCGAAAGAAAGGCAUGAAAAUGCCCCCCGUGUUGCUCAGCCUAGAAAUAGGCGCCAGAUGAGAGAGGAAGAGGCUAGGAACCGUCCCGAAACCUCUCACCAACAACCAUGGCAUGAGGUCGAUGAAUACGAUUCAGAUGAACAACAGAGGUCCUGUGACUUGGACGAUGACGAUGAGAAUUUACCGUUCUCAAGAGAACUAAGGAGUGCCCAAGUUCCAAGCCACUAUGUAAUGGCAAAGAUACCAAAGUAUAACGGAAGAGACGACCCAGAGAAGCACCUGAAUGCUUAUAAAACUCAUAUGAGCCUAAGAGCCGCCACCCCAGCUGUGAAGUGCAGAGCUUUCCAUUUAACACUUAGUGGAGUGGCUGAAAUUUGAUAUAGUAGGUUAUCGCCUGGGAGCAUAAGAAGUUGACCCGAGUUCAAGACAACAUUCUUGAAGAGGUUCGCAGUGAGUAAAGAAGGAGAGGCCCCCAUCCAACGUUUCCAAAACAUGAGACAAGCACAUGGGGAGUCCCUAAAGAGCUUCCUAUCACGCUUCAUUGAUGAGAUGAUGUAUUGCAUGCAAGUCACCGACCGUAAGGCACUAUCCGCAUUAAGGAGAGGUCUAAACAUGAAUACCCUAUUUUGGAGGGAUGUGCAAAAUCAAGAUCCCACCACCUAUGAUGCCCUACUCGAGAUGAUGAGGCGGGAAAUCAUCAAUGAAGAAUUGAUUGAGCAUUGGAACAGGGCAACUAGGGGCCUCCCACCUCCUCAAAGGCAACGUGCUAGAGGGCCGACCUCCUACUUGAUGGACUACCAAAUGAACUAGGCUGGAAAUGAGAUUUCUGGCCAAGCACUUUCCAUUUAACGCGGUUCCUACCUUGGCAUAUGAGGAUAUCAACCCAAUUACUAACACCCAGUAGACAAAAACCCCACAAGGAUCCCGUAGUGGGAGAGGUCGAGGCCGGGGUUUGGGACCUAGAAAUAGGUCAAAUUAGAAUCCAACGGGAUAUUGUGUACACCACCGGUCCUAUGGAUAUGACACAGCGGAUUGUCGAGACUAUGCGUACCGCUCCCAGCUGGAACUCCCGAGGGACAGAAAUGAAUCGCCCCAGGCGAACAGGCUCCCGUCCAGUUACGACAACCGACGUGGGCAUGAGGAGGCUACUCCCUGUCAAAGGGAUGUUUCCCCACGACGAAGGGAGCGUGAUACGGAAAGGCCCAAGGAAGGGCACAGGCACUGAAGAAACCGACAAGCCUAAGAUAAGGCCCCUAUCCACGAGGUGGAUACCAUAUUUGGAGGACCAUAUGUUGGUGGUGAAACACGAAACGCCAAAAGGAAUUACACCCGAGAGGCUAAACACCUCCCUUUGGCAAGCUACAUUGUGGACAGUAGCUCCCGGAGGAACCAAGUUCCACCCAUUGUCUUCACCCAAGAGGAUGCCAGAGGAUUACACUACCCCCACUGAUAUGCACUUGUUGUGAGAGCCUUCAUAGCCCGAAAUGGGCUCAAGCGAAUGUUAGUUGACAACGGUAGCUCUGUCAACAUUUUAUUCGGAUCUGCCUUUGACAAGAUGAUAUUGGAUCAUCAGUUGACACCCACCACAACUCCUCUGUACGAAUUAACCAAAGAUAGCAUCACUCCAAGGGGAAAGAUAACACUUGCAGUGGAGAUGGGAGAGUCUCCCCAAACUACGAUGAACAUCAUGGAGUUCCUUAUUGUCGACAGUCGAUCGGCCUACCAUGGAGUAUUAGGUAGGGCAGCCCUAAAAGAAUUGGGAGCAGUCACCUCCAUCCACCACCUAUGCAUGAAAUUCCCUACGAAAAAUGGGGUGGCAACGGUGAGAGGUGACUAAAGAGGAUCGAGAGAGUGUUAUCUAAGCUCCAUAAAAAAGGUAGAGCCCCGGGACGUCCAUGUAAUCAUAGCCGAUAUAGUCAUGGCUGACGUUCCAGGUGAUGCUCGUACUGAACCAGAAGAUAUCGAUAUGAUUGAUGCACCACCCAAUCCAGAGGUAUUGGUCAUUGAUGAAAUCGAUCCCGCAUAAUUGAACACGAACCUCAAGUAUCCCCAGUUGAGGAACUUGAGAGCUUUUCGGUAGACCCCUGAGACCCAUCCAAGGUGCUGAAAGUAGGCAAGGGCUUAUCCAACAUUCUGAAGGAAAAGAUUAAGGAUUUCCUAAGUAGGAACCUUGAUGUCUUUACUUGGAGGCAUGAGGACAUGGUAGGCAUAGGCCCCAAGGUCAGUUGCCACCACCUGAAAGUCAAUCCUAAGGUUGCCCUACACAGACAAAAAAGGAGAGCCCUCAAUCCUAAAAGGUGUGAGGCUCUGAAGGAAGAGGUUCAGAAACUCAUCCAAAACGGCUUUAUCAGGGAGGAUACCUAUCCGAGGUGGGUCUCCAACCUGGUUUUAGUGAAGAAACACAACAGCAAGUGGAGGGUGUGCAUCGACUUCACUAACCUCAACAGAGCUUGCCCGAAAGAUAGCUUUCCUCUCCCAAGGAUUGACCAACUAGUAGACUCCAUGGCUGGGCACGAGUUGUUGAGCUUUAUGGACGCAUACUCCGGCUACACCCAAAUACCCAUGCACCCGACCGAUGAGGAGCACACCUCUUUCAUCAUCGAUCGAGGCCUUUAUUGUUAUAGGAUGAUGCCCUUGGGGUUGAAAAAUGCCGCAGCAACUUACCAAAAGCUUAUCAACAAAAUGUUUAUGGACCUUAUCGGCAAGACAAUGGAGGUAUACGUGGAUGACAUGUUGGUAAAGAGUUUAGAGGCUGAGGACCACAUAAUGCACCUUAACAGCACCUUCCAAAUCUUGAGAAGAUAUAGGAUGAGGCUCAACCCCCUCAAGUGCGCCUUUGGAGUGGCCUCCGGCAAAUUCUUAGGAUACAUGGUCAAUCAACGUGGAAUUGAAGCCAAUCUUGAGAAGAUUGAUGCCCUAUACAAGACGAGGUUCAGCGUUUGACUGGGCGGGUGGCCACACUUAGCCUCUUCGUCUCCAAAGCUACAGACAAAUGCCUCACAUUCUUUAAAGUGCUGAAAGCUAGGAAGAAGUUCCAAUGGAAUGAGGAAUGUGAAGAGGCCUUUCAAGGCCUGAAAACGCACCUGGGGCAGGCCCCUCUCCUCUCCAAAUCGAAGCUCGGUGAGAUCCUACAGCUAUAUCUGGCCGUCUCUAAUGAGGUCAUCAGUUCGGUUCUAACCUGAGAAGAGGGGACCACCCAACUUCCCAUUUACUAUACAAGUAAAGCACUCCUAUCGCCAGAAACCCGUUACCCCGAUAUGGAGAACCUUGCUUUGGCCCCGAUAUGAAGAAGCUCGCUUUGGCCUUGAUCACGGCCUCUAGGAAAUUGAGACCCUACUUCUAAGCUCACACCAUCCAUGUGCUGACAAACUCUCCCCUAAGGCAAGUGCUCCAAAAGUCCGAUGCCUCAGGAAGAUUAUUGAAGUAGGCAGUGGAGUUAAGUGAAUUUGACCUCAUGUUCAAGGCUAGGGCAGCCAUCAAGGGUCAAGCCUUAGCUGACUUUGUAGCAGAAUUCAUCAAUUUACUCGAGGUAGAUAAAAUCAUGGAACCCGUCGAGCCCCUUAUGUGGAACUUAUUUGUUGAUGGGUCGGCCGAGGACGCCGACUCAGGUGUUGGAGUUGUUCUCAUCAGCCCUGAAGGUCACAAGCUAAACUCAGGGGUGAGGUUCGGGUUCAAAGCCACCAACAAUGUAGUAGAAUAUGAGGCACUUCUUGCAAGCCUCAGGCUUGCCAAGGAAAUGCAAGUAAAGAGGCUACUCAUCAGCAGUGACUCCCAACUGGUUGUUAGCCAAGUAAAUGGUAACUUCUCAGCCAAGGACAAAACGAUGGCUUCUUACUUGAAAAUGGUGAUGAACCUCAUCCUAUCCUUUGAAAAAUUUGAACUAACCCAGAUCCCUCGCAUAAAAAAUUCACAUGCGGAUGCACUCUCCAAGCUUGUUAGUAGCAAGGAUUCAGAACUACUCAUAGUAGUACCUAUAGAACACCUCCUCCUGCCGUCAAUCGAGGCCCCCAAUGUAAUGUGGGUCGUUGGAACUCCUACUUGGAUGCAGCCAAUCGUAGCAUACCUCAAAGACCAGGUACUUCCCACUAACAAGCAUAAGGCCUACAAGCUAAGGAAGAGGUCAGCCCACUUCCUCUUCGUUGAUGAUAUUCUCUAUAAGAGGAGCUUCUCCUUCCCACUCUUACGAUGCGUUGGAGGAGAAGAUGCUACUUACAUAUUAAGAGAAGUCCAUGACGGCGUGUGCAGCAAUCACUCCGGAGGUUUAUCUUUAGCACAAAAGAUAUUGAGGCAGGGGUACUACUGGCCUAUCCUGAAAAGGGAUGCUCUCGAGUUCGUACGAAAGUAUGACAAAUGCCAACGAUUCUCUUCAGUACAAAGACAACCGUCGCAAGAUUUGACCGCGGUCUCCAGCCCUUGGCCUUUCUCGAAAUGGGGUGUGGACCUCAUAGGUUCUCUACCUAAAGGUAGAGGAGGUGCAAGCUUUGUAAUUGUGGCCAUUGAUUACUUUACAAAAUGGGUUGAGGCUGAACCACUGGCAAAAAUCACAGAAGCCAACAUUUCCAAGUUCUUGUGGAAGAAUAUUAUAUGCCGGUUCGAGAUUCUCUAAUCAAUCAUCUCGGACAAUUUCACAACAAGAAAGUCAGAGCACUAUGCAAGGAACUCGACAUCAAGAAGCAUUUCUCCACGCCUCACCACCCACAAGCAAAUGGCCAAGUUGAGGCUGUGAAUAAAACAAUCAAACACGUCCUGAAAAGGAAGCUUGAUGUGUCAAAAGGGGCUUGGGUGGAUAAACUGCCACAAGUACUUUGGGCAAUCCGAACCACCACGAGGACCCCAACCGGGGAAACACCUUUCAUCAUGGCAUAUGGUACUGAGGCCAUGAGCCCCAUUGAAGUCGGACUUCCAUCUCCUAGACGUCUGCAUUUUAGUGAGAUAACAAAUGAUGAGCUUCGGAGGUGCGACCUUGACUUCAUCGAAGAGAGAAGAGAUGACUCCCAGUUGAAGCUCGGCACAUAUCAAAGGAAGAUGACGAAAUACUUCAACUCAAAGGUAAAGAAGAGAUCAUUCCGAGUAAAUGACUUGGUCCAUAGGAGAGUCUUCCUCUCCUCAAAGGAACCUGGUUCCAGUUCCCUAGGUCCGAGCUGAGAAGGACCAUAUAAAAUCAGAGAAGAGAUCCGGCUUGGGACCUACUGGAUUGAAGACAUGAACGAAAAGGUUCAAUCCCAUCCAUGGAACAUCGAGCACCUCAGAAUCUAUUACUAAUGAAUGUACUACCUCGCUGGACGAUCUUUCCCAGCUCUUGUAACAUUUCUAUGGUUCAAUAAAAUUCUAUGAUUAAACUAACGUGUUGCAUUACUUCCUCACCUCAACGAAGAGGCCAGUAUCCCAUCUCUAGGCCACCUCACUUGAACUCCGAGGCACAUUCACAUGCCUUCCUUUAGCAAGGGUGAAUGCUAGGGAGAAAAGCCUCAACAUGGCUGCACUAUCCACCAUAUUGGAAAGCGUCGUCACCUCGGAAGAGAGGCCAGCGUCCCAUCUCUGGGCCACCUCGCUUGAAUUUCGAGGCGCAUUCACAUGCCUCCCUUUGGCGAGGCUGAACGCCAGGGGGAGAAAUCUCAACAUGGCUGUACCAUCCACCAUGUUGGGAAGUGUCGUAACCUCGAAAGAGAGGCCAGCGCCCCAUCUCUGGGCCACCUCGCUUGAACUUCGAGGCACAUGAACAUGCCUCCCUUUGGCGAGAUUGAACGCCAGGGACAAAAGCCUCAACAUGGCUGCACCAUCCACCAUGUUGGGAAGUAUUGUCACCUCGAAAGAGAGGCUAGCGCCCCAUCUCUGGGCCGCCUUGCUUGAAUUCCGAGGCGCAUUCACAUGCCUCUCUUUGGCGAGGCUGAACGCUAAGGGGAGAAGCCUCAACAUGGUUGCACCAUCCACCAUGUUGGGAAGCGUCGUAAUCUCGAAAGAGAGGCCAGCGCCCCAUCUCUGGGCCACCUCACUUGAACUCCGAGACACAUGAACUGCCUCCUUUUGGCGAGGCUGAACGCCAGGGGGAGAAGCCUCAAUAUGGCUGCACCAUCCACCAUGUUGGGAAGCGUCGUAACCUCAGAAGAGAGGCCAGCGCCCCAUCUCUGGGCCACCUCGCUUGAUUUCCAAGGCUCAUGCACGUGCCUCCCUUUGGCGAGGCUGAACACCCGGGGAAAAGCCUCAACAUGGCUGCACCAUCCACCAUGUUGGGAAGCGUUGUCACCUCGGAGGCGAGGCCAGCGUCCCAUCUCUGGGCCACCUCCCUUGAACUCCGAGGCGCAUGAACAUGCCUCCCUUUGGCAAGGCUAAAUGCCAAGGGGAGAAGCCUCAACAUGGCUGCACCAUCCACCAUGUUGGGAAGUGUCGUCACCUCGGAGGCGAGGCCAACGUCCCAUCUUUGGGCCACCUCGCUUGAACUUCGAGGCUCAUACACUUGAAUCAGAGUAAUAUUCCCAGUUCGGCUACAACAGGGUUCAUUCUUAGGAUCCCUUCAGGUUACAGUUACUAAGCUUAAGUACAAUUCAUUUGCUUAAGUCCAACAUUGGUUAUAACUCGUGAGGCUUGCAUACAAUUUAUUUGUUCAAGUGAUUGGAGUUAGGAUGCCCAGUUAAAGUUAUUUAGUUCUUCAAUCAACAUUACAUUCAAUUACUCACGAAGCCAACACACUUAAGAGAAAGGAACAACAUUGAAUGAAAAAGAGAUUAUAUUGAUUUUCAACUGAUAUUACAAAAGGGGGGCUUAAGGCCAGUGUAUCAUGCGUAACUGAAAAGAAAACUAUCCUAAGCUAGGGAAGAUGAUGGAGGUGCCUCGACAGCUAGGACUUCCGCAGCUUGAGCAUCAGAAUUUGCUUCUUCUGUCUCUGCUAUUUCAUCUCCCACCACUUCAUCAGCUGGGGUUUGAGGCACUUCAUCCACAAACUCCGACUUGAGUUGCGAUAGAUCCUGAUUAGGAUACAACUCCUCAACCCGCUCCAUCACUUCUGCAUAAGCAAAGUUCCUCCAGUAAGUGCUGAAGCUCUUGUACUCCUCGGUAUUGUGGAAGUUGGCAAUGUAGUCUUUCACUGCCUCCUCCCUAGCUGGGUUGCAUCAUCGACGUACCACUUGAUGAACUUGUAUGCAUCUUGGGCCCCUGCCAACUCCCUGUUAGCCUUCUCCAAGGCUUCGGCUGUCACCUUCUGGUGGUCAUUGGAAACCUCCAUCUUCUUAGUCAAGGAGGCUAACUCGCACUGGGACUCAUAAACUUCCUCCUUCAAUGCCUCUAUCUGAGCUAAGGCAGACUCUAGCUUGGCCGAUUCUUCAAGUUUUUGGGCCCUAGCUUCCUUAACCUCGACCCUAGCUGCCUUCAGUUCUUCUGCAAGGGAGGUCGUCUUCCACUCUGAGACAAUGGUCCUCGUCUGAAAGUCAGUGAGGGCCUCCCUGUAUUCCAGUGCGAGGCCAAAAGUCCUAACACUUUGGCUCAUAAGAGCCUUCGUCAAGUCUAUGGCAUCACAAGCGAAGGCGUGCAGUUGCCACCGAUCCGUCCAGAAUUGAUAAAACUUUCAGUAGCGUCUCGGAUCUACGGUGGUAGGGCCUCCACCAAAGGUGGGGCCAGAGGAUCCACCCUGUUGGCAAGGAAGCUCGGACUAGAGACAUGCACCAGCUUCCUCUUCUUCGGCUCCUCAGGGACUUUCUCCUUCCCUCGAGGCUUCUUGGACUUUUCUGGCCUCUGGGGGGUCCCCUCUUCGAAAGCCCGUGAUGUACUGUCCUUGGAGAGAUGCUCCACUCUGCCUCGAACCUCCUUGGCGCCAGUUGACCCCGGCUUCAGGGGCCUCGCCUUUACAGUAGAGGUUGCCUUAAGUAUGGACACCAUGUCAGGAGCUGGGUACUCCUUCCUCUUAAACUUGUCUGUAGAACAUAGCGCGUCAGUAUUAAAACGAAAACACAAAAAUAUAUAAGUAGAGCUUCGUACCCUUGGAGGCCAUUAGCUCAAAAUCGAGGAAAUAGUGACUUCUAUCGACGAGGUGGUCGAAGUGGUGAAACUUCAGAGGUCUCUUGUAAAUGUCCUCUAUCACCUCAAACUCCUCCCUGCUCAGCUCAAACCUCGUACGACUAUCUAUAAAGGACGCUUCAACAGUUAGAAAAAUAAAAUUUUUAAUACAAAUUACAACUUGGGCUGGGAGACUCACGAGCUUCGUAGUACUGGGUCAGUACUGUGCAAGCCAGGGCUUUGUCCCCCUCCACUACCUGCCACCUGCCUCGCACCCAGAACUACAACUCCUUCCAACCCUUGAUGGAAGAAGGUAGUCCCACCACAAAUGGUGCAUGAGCCCCCCAAGGACUUAGGUAAUACCACCCCUUCGACUCCUUCCCUAUUACCCUAGGCUGGAACAAGGUCAUGAAGACGUGGAGAGGUAUGUCCUCCCCAAGUGAUACUUCCUUCCACAGGAAGUACGAGCCUACCAACUGGCUCUACCCGUUUGGCAGAACCUGAGUCGACGAUAGCAUGAAGUUCCUCAGCACCGCCCUAAAGAACGGGUGCAGAGGAAGACGCAUACCUGCCUUAAACAGGUAUUCACUCACCGCCAUACAGUCGGGCCUCGGAUAACAGGCUCGCUCAUGGGCUUUGGGAACUAACAUUUCCACAUAGUGAGGCUCACAGUACAUCUUCCUAAUCUCCCCCAGCCUCUUUCCUAUCAUAUUUGAAGGCACCCUAGACACUCCCCACUCUUUGCUAUAGUCUACUGGCUCAUCGGUCAUAGCAUACCUAUCUAUCUUGGAAUCCCCCCUAUGACUGACCCAAUGGCCCAAUGAUGCUACAGUGACCAACUUCCUACCCGACGUGGACUCCAUCUCAAAAAUGACUAAGAACGCAAUAAAAGGAGAAUUUUCUGUGAAAAAUACCUACUGAAAAUUACGCGAACAGAAUGUACCGGAAAAGCAGUGAACGGAUAGCCUCAACGUCGGAAUGUUUAAGUUCUAAAAGAGGAAAUCAAAUUGCAAGUACUGGAAAAUCCAGAAAAAAUGGAGUUCUCUAGCUUUUUAUAAAGGGCCAGGACGAACCCCCAUCGUCAAAUCGAAGCUCAUUCAAUCUGGACCCUUCAUUUUAAAUCAAAUCCGAAGUGUAGAAUUCAAAUGGUUUUUCAAACCUACGCCUCAAAUUUAAGCGUGUCUCCCAUGCAACUCAUCCAACGUGUCUACUUCUAGAAACUCCAGCUGUUCUAAUAAUUACGAUUUUAAUUCGACGGCAGCAGACGCCUUGGAAGUUGCAACGAUUUAGCCACUUUUCAUCGAAAACAUGUGCAAAACAUCAAAUCAUUGACACAACUACCAAGGAACAAUUAUUGUCAAUGACCUCGGCUUCAUCUCCAACAUUCAGCCAUCAAACCUCGGAGGUUCAGUUUUCCAACCACCUCGGCUUCAUCUUCAACAUUCAGCCAUCAAGCCUCGCAGGUUCGGCUUCCCAACCACCUCGGCUUCAUCUUCAACAUUCAGUCAUCAAGCCUCACAAGUUCGAUUUUCCAACCACCUCGACUUCAUCUUCAACAUUCAGCCUUCAAGCCUCGCAGGUUCGAUUCCCCCAACCUCCUCGACUUCAUCUUCAACAUCUAGUCAUCAAGCCUCGCAGGUUCGAUUUCCCAAACACGUCGACUUCAUCUUCAACAUUCAGCCUUCAAGCCUUGCAAAUAACAGUACAUUUCUAAUUCCAACCAUAAUAUAAAUAUCUAUACUUGGACUUGGGGGGACUAUUAUUUAUGGUUCAAAAAUUCUUUCAAUAUUUACCCAACCCACUGGCUUUACUUCAUUAAAGUCCACGUAUUACAUAAAUGACUAUAUUUGGACUUGGGGGACUAUUGUUACGUGUUGUCAUACUUGGCCAACCUACUUGGGCCUAUGGCCCACUCAAUCCAAACCACGUGGCGCUCUACCCGAGGUGGGAUGUAUGACCAAGGCCCUUCAUGUCGAGGCCCAUAUAUCGAGGCCUAUGAAACUAGUCGAGGCCCGUAUGCCAAGGCCCGUGAAGAUAGCCGAAGCCCUAAAGCGGAAGUACUACCUAAGUGGUAGGAGCCCUGAAUCCAAAUCCGAAGCCGAAGCCUCUGAACCAUGAAAGAACGUCUUCUACAUAAAGAUCUUGUUAGAAUGAUUGAUGAAACGUUUGUCAUAAGUGUACAUGUCAAAUCUUGUCAUUAGGAUGGGGGUUCUGCAUAAGCAAUAAAUGUACAGCAAGCUAGCAAGUCAAGGAUGAUGCCUAGGAUUGGAUGUUUGGAUUAAAGAGAUGAGGCCAUGUGCCACCUCAUCGAAGGGCUGUCAUUUCACAUGUACCACUAUAAAUACUUCCCUUGUGUAACAUUAAAGGGUUAAUGCAAAAAUCAAUACAAGAAACCACAUUUUACUCUCUCUUUCACAUUGUCUUGCAACACAAUACGAGUUCAUACAUGUUUACAUGCACAUUCAUGAGCACCGAUUGGUAAUUAUUGUACAAUCGAAUUACAAACAUCCCGCCAGAUUCCUAAUGUUCUCGUCCCACAUCGUUGAGCUACUCCCACGGCCUGAUCCGUUUGUUCUAGACCAUCCACGUGUCUUAACGUGUAGGACCUCCGCUCACGUGUGCGCGGGUGGGUUCGGCAUUUAUUGACAACAUUUUUUUGGGUCAACAUACAUAUACUAAUACUUACAGCAUACAGGCGUCGAAAUUAUGUAUUAUAAUUCUGCAUUACGACCAAUCUUCAUCAAAUACAUGAGUUAAAACUUCAAAAAAUUUUAGUGACGGUAAAUUAUUGAAGAGAGGGAAACUAAGAUUGGCCUUUCCAUUUCUAUUCAUACUAUAGCUAACAUAAAUCUCGACCCAUUCAAUUGUCCUUACCAAUUGCAAGUAAACCCCCUCCUUUCACUCUCUUCUUUUUCACCUCUUUGUUCCCAUCCCUCUAUUAUGGUUUUAACAAAUCCUCUUCCACGUAAAACUUAUUUAACAUGAAUAUAUGUAUAAUAAUUCACAGCAAUUUGAACUUUCUCUCUAUUUUGGUAAUUAGGUCAUAGAAACUACGACAAACAACGUUGUAGUGAGUCUGGUUUAGUAUCUUGUAACUGAGCGAGGGUUUUGUACUUCCACAUCAAAGAAUGGCAAUGAUAAGAGUACGUUCAACGAGACUCUGAGAAAGCUUUCGUAAGGAAGUUUAGGGGUUCGUGCGAAGUGUUUUGUUGCCUUUUUGAUCCUGGGCUCUUUUUCUUUAUCCCUGAUCGAUCCUUGGUAAGAAGAUCCCCCCGACCCGCCAAGUUGGAUUGAACGAGUUUGCUAAUCUAUCUUAUCCAAUCCCCCAACCAUCGUAGCUUUAGUGGUGUUUGAGAGAAUCCAAUAAUCAUCCUCAAAAUCGACCAUAUUAUUUAUGCUUGUCAAGAGUUUUCAUAAGCAUUUUCCUUUGUCCAUCCAUUUCUCUUCAAUUUUUUUCCAUUUCGGAUGAAACAAUGCCAAUUGCAAAAAUGGUGAAAGUGACCAGCUUCGGUUUGUGAUUAUGCCAUUUUAAUUUUCCUUUGUUUUCUUCUGUAAACGAGGAAAUUGAUUUUGACAGCAUUAAUGUGAUCUUAUUCCAUUAUGCAGAAAUGUGAUCUUACAUUAAUGUUAUGUUGUCUUUAAAAAAAUAAAAAAAUUAAAUUUCAUUUUAAUUUUUAACCCCACUAUACAAAAAUUCUAGUUCCGCCCUUGUGCACACCCCUGACUGUUUUUCAAAAAAUUGUUUCCUUUUUGGGUUGCGAGGGGCUGUUUGGAGAUACAUAAACAAUUAAUAUUGUUUUCUGGAAGUUCAUAAAAGCCUAAGACAUCUCCUUAUGGAAUUCCCCCGGAUAGAAUUAUCUUAUCAAACUAUACUUGAUUUGAACAGAGAAAUCUGGUUGAUCCAUGCUUUGAACAACCUAUUUAAAAUGAAAAUUAGGGGCCCACAAUGUCAAAUAGCAAUCAAGCAGAACAGAUCCAUUAGAUCUCAAUUCCAUUAGGUAACUUCGGGGCCAUACUGAAUGCGAUUUAAAACCCUAAUGCCCAAAUUUUUGAAAUAUCAAAUACUGUGCACUCGCACCAAUAAAAAAGUAACAAUUUUAACGUUUAAAGUGAACUGGAGUAAUAACAUGAGUUCAAC